rnacentral:rRNA from 1 species
GAUGAACGCUGGCGGCGUGCCUAAUACAUGCAAGUCGAGCGAACAGACGAGGAGCUUGCUCCUCUGACGUUAGCGGCGGACGGGUGAGUAACACGUGGAUAACCUACCUAUAAGACUGGGAUAACUUCGGGAAACCGGAGCUAAUACCGGAUAAUAUAUUGAACCGCAUGGUUCAAUAGUGAAAGACGGUUUUGCUGUCACUUAUAGAUGGAUCCGCGCCGCAUUAGCUAGUUGGUAAGGUAACGGCUUACCAAGGCAACGAUGCGUAGCCGACCUGAGAGGGUGAUCGGCCACACUGGAACUGGGACACGGUCCAGACUCCUACGGGAGGCAGCAGUAGGGAAUCUUCCGCAAUGGGCGAAAGCCUGACGGAGCAACGCCGCGUGAGUGAUGAAGGUCUUCGGAUCGUAAAACUCUGUUAUUAGGGAAGAACAAAUGUGUAAGGAGCUAUGCACGGAUUGACGGUACCUAAUCAGAAAGCCACGGCUAACUACGUG